UACGUAGGGGCUAGCGUUAUCCGGAAUUACUGGGCGUAAAGGGUGCGUAGGUGGUUUCUUAAGUCAGAGGUGAAAGGCUACGGCUCAACCGUAGUAAGCCUUUGAAACUGGGAAACUUGAGUGCAGGAGAGGAGAGUGGAAUUCCUAGUGUAGCGGUGAAAUGCGUAGAUAUUAGGAGGAACACCAGUUGCGAAGGCGGCUCUCUGGACUGUAACCGACACUGAGGCACGAAAGCGUGGGGAGCAAACAGGAUUAGAUACCCUGGUAGUCCCUGAGCGGG
rnacentral:rRNA from 1 species